CAAACUUGGUCAUUUAGAGGAAGUAAAAGUCGUAACAAGGUUUCCGUAGGUGAACCUGCGGAAGGAUCAUUAAAGAUUCUGGCCCUCGGCCGAACCUCAUCAGCGUGCAGCCGAGGCGCACAGCUGAUGAACCUUUCACACCCUGUGCACCAUUCGGUUGCGGCCCUGUCGGGACGCUCCCGCUUUUACACAUCUCACUACAGUCCAGAAUGUCAUAAACAUAAAAUUAACAACUUUCAACAACGGAUCUCUUGGCUCUCGCAUCGAUGAAGAACGCAGC
rnacentral:misc_RNA from 1 species